GGCCGUUCUCUGGUGACACGCCCCAGAAUCAGGCUCCCUCUUCUCUGGUUCCAGGUGCAUCACCUGAGAACCACA
rfam:Myotis davidii contig13773, whole genome shotgun sequence.